CCGCCAGCUGAAAUGGGCAAAGAAGAAAAAAUGACCACUUAAUCAAAUAAUAAGCAAUAUAUUUAGCUUUCGCUCGGAUGGUGUACGUGUGUGGCGGUGGAGGAGGUGUGGCCUCUUUGCUUGCGUGACACUGAUGAAGAGAUUAACAAAAUGCCCUUUUAAAGGAGAGUUGUUUUUUUUUUUACACUGGCCCGAUCUGGCGCUUCGCGUUGCAUAAGAUCCUCGUUAAUCACGUCACACGGCUGGGGUAAAGUUUACGCAAACAACGAGGUCCGUGUUAUUGGGGUCCGACCGUUUCGCUGACGUUUUGAGCCUGAGGAUGUGCUUGAUAAUAACCAUUCGUGUGAGCGUGAAUGUUUACACAAAGCAUCCUUUCUCACACAAAGGCGGGGUGUGUGUACACGUAGUGAGCUACGUAAGCAGAUUUGUGUUUCACUUACCACCGUCCGAUCCUAAAUGGGCGAGAGUGAAGGUGCCCUCGCAAGGGCCAAUCUACAUCCAUCUUUCUUCGGUUAGAAAAUGACAAUAUUAUACAACUUGUAGACACUCCACCCGGUCAUCUUCGGGACGACCGCAAUCAGCAAUCAUGGUGAUCGUAUUCUGGUCCCCUCAGGAGGAGAAGUCAGGAGUGUGCGGAUGGAGAUGUGGUUUGACGUUGAUCUGAUUGGGCUGAUGAUGAGUGGCGAUCGAAUAAUUUCAUUUAAUUGUUGAGCCACUCGAAUAGAGCAAUCAGCUCGGAAACAAUCGAUGUCUGGUCAAUAGACUCGGCUCGGUGUGACUAUGUAGGUGCAUCGUACACCAAGGGCUAUGAUUUGCUGUGCAGUGUGUGGUUGCAAUGUUAAUUACCGGCCAGUGUACCCGGGCUGUAAUGACACGGUAGCUGAUAGAUACGGCGUUAAAGUGUUGUAUGCCUGGUUGUGCAAUUGUUAUAAAUAUUUAUAGAAUGAUUUUAACAAUAUAAGUGGAUUUUAUAAAUAACCAAUGCACAUGUUCUGUAUGCUCUAUGGUUCUAGUAGGGAAUGUAUCGUAAAAUAAAAAUCCCAGUGCUAAUGUUGAUGCUAAUGCAUUGUUAAUGCACGUAGAAGUGAUAACUAAUCACUAGCUACUUUGUUAUUGCCUGGCUUGGCUUAGAGGUGACACUGGAAUCACGAUGCUCUUAUAUCACUGUUUCAUUGUUGAUUGAGAAUGAGUUAUUUUGAAGCAACAAACAGGUCCGGAAAGAGGGUCAGACAUUGGAACUCAGAAGUGCAUAGAAUCAUUGGGGUGUAUGCAAAAAUAUGGCUUUCAUCCCACUGAAUCACUGACUUGAUUUCUGUUCCUAUUUUCACUCUCUGUGCUAGUUACUGUAUAUAUCCGAGGUUCAGUCAUAAUUACUGCCGCCGUUCCUGGAGUACUAUCUAGUUCUGUAUUUUCUAUUUUCCUGCUUCUUUUUUUGGAUUUGAUACAGUGUACAGUUUAUAGAUUAGAGUGGCAUUCAUUUAUCUCUAUGCACGUUCUGGUCGUAGAAUCGUAACAUAUUCUUAGUUUAGUUUAUUAUAAGUAAUAAUUGUCCUUAUUCUUGGUUCCUAUUUUUAAUCGUUUUCCCAUAAUAUUACCUCGGAAGAGGUCCCCACUCUAUUUUGAAUCAUUCUUUAUCUGUGUUCUUGGUUCCAACAUAUGUUCUAGGCAAUACUUGUCAAUACCAAUGUUUUGAAAUCCUGAUCCAAUGUUUUGAAAAUAAACUGAAGGCACAUUCCACAUAAAUUAAAGUUAUAUAUCCAUGCACUUGCUUUGUCUUUUUUGAAGUUCUCUUUCUGUUGAUCUAUUAUAACAUUCUUACUGAGAAACGAUCGCUUACUACAGUAAGAUGUUUGAAAUUAUAUUGAAUCUCCCGACAUGUCGCUAUGUAAGACUAACCGUUUCUACGAUUAAUCCAUGCCACUCGUUUACGACUUACGCACCCAAGGUUAAGCAGUGUUAACUCUUACCACAUGGAGCUGAACAUCAAUACAAUAAUGGGACUCAUUUCUCUUCUGUGAACGGCGCGGAUCGCUCAAGUAGAGUGCCACACGCAACUCCAUCAUAUAUGCCCUUCAUUCGUGGUGACACUCGUUCUACAAGUGGCAUUCAGCUGCGUUGUUCGGCUGUUCGAGAUCGGUUUAGAUUUUAUUGGGCCUAGGCCUAUUUACAUGUUUGUGCAGUGUCCUCCUUCUCCGUGGUUCGCCAGCAGGAAAAAUGGAAAGACAUUUCAACCAAAACAAAACCACCAUACUACUGGGCAAGUUGUAAGUGCACCAAACAAAGGGGGAGAGAAAUGCAUGGGCAUACACGUGUGGGAUACAUUGCCAUCAUAUGUUGCUCCGGUUUGUGGCCUGGUUACAAUCAAGUCGCUACGAUCUGCUUUUUGCUGCGGGUUUGCGGGGAGGCUUCUUCUACAAUGUGUGUGUGUGUGUGUUUUUGUUGCUUUUCUGCCGUUUACCAUGAUCGGAUCCUCUUUUCUCUUGAUACUGGCUGGUUAGUUGGUUGGUUGGUUGGUGGUGGCAGCUGGCAACAGCAUGGAUCGAAUGUGCUUUGUCUCAUGAUGAUGGGUUCGCUUCCACUGGCCACCCGUUUCACUCCAAUCCUAUGCUGUAGGACAAAAUGUUGUGCGAUCGCUGCGGUUGUUGUGGCGUUCAUCUGCCUACGAAGCGUGUAGUGUCGUCGGUGGUAUGUGUAGUUCGCCAUUUUCAAGUUGCCUGCUAUGUUUCGCCUGCAUCAAUCGCACACACACACACACACACACUGAUACUCGCAUUCUGCCCGUGGUAGCAUAAAAAGAAGUGACACAAAUAAUGAUAAAGUGACAGCGCUUGUAGUGCAAAAAAGGAGGCCAGAGCGGGGAGACAAAAAAAAACGGAGUAACUAAAUAAAUUAAGCUCGUAUGAAGCGACCGUGCAUCGCGGGGCCCGACACGGGGGCAUCUCGUUUCGUUUGUCGCCGCUUGCCAAGGGGAUGAGAAAAUACGAUCCCACGGGUUUGAAGUGAAGUUUGUUGCGAAGAAAACAACAGCACCGGCAGUGACGCGAUGCGAUCAGACAAGCCUGCUGACGGGUGAAUCCGGGAAUGUUGGUUUUAUGACGUCUUAUCAUGCCGCGUGUCGUGUCUUCUCGAGUCUUCACCGAACAGAACAGAGCACCCUUAGUCUAGAACGAUCAAACAAACGGCUGCAGCAAUAACCACUUUACAAGAGAAGCAGGCAGGGCGCAGAGAGUAAACAACUUCUUCAGCAGACAUUCCUGAAGAGCAUCUGACCAUAUGAGCGUCGCAUCUCUCGAACAAUCCAUAAAAAGAAGAAACCGAUCUUAAGCCAACACGACAGCAAACGAAAUGGAGACAAGUUUUCUUCCGAUUUGUAUUGGUAAGAGAAUGUUGGGCUUUGAGUGAGAAAACUUUCAAAGCAAACGAUUAUAUAAUGAAGCUCAUAGUGAUGAACCUUCUGGCUGGGACGGCUGGCGGACGUCUUAAACCGGCUCUCUGUCAACGAAUCACACUCACAAGCAUCAUCAUCAAGCAGCAACAGCAGCAGCAGAGGCAGUUUGCCUAAUGUCAUUAAAGCCAAAUCGCCAAAUCUCGACUGCUUUUAAUGUCCCUUGCGUCCUCCUAUCCACCUUGUGGGGAGAACUUAUGAUGGGGCUGUUAAGGUUCCCAAGUGGUAGCGUCACAUUUACGUCGAUUUCAGCUAAACUCCAUCACUCCAAAAACGAACUCCAAGAUCUGUAAGCACACGCGCACCAACACACUUGCCUAUUGGCCACGAAGGCCAUAAAGCCGCGGUGAAGGCUAGCUGGGGUUGGUUUGGUCGGUUUUCGCCAGCAUGAUGAUGAUGGUGUGCCCGGUCGUUGACGCUGCGCUGCUGCACGUUCUGUUGUCGAACUUUUAUCUAUACGGCUGGAAAUUCAAA